AGUUGUUGCAGUUAAAAGCUCGUAGUUGAAGUUCUGGCUGUUCGAUCCUCGAGCUCUGUAGCCGAGGACUCGACAGUCAUCCGCUUGCAAAUAUAGUUCGUCUUUAACCGGAUGGCUAUGUGAGUAAGCAAUUUACCUUGAGAAAAACAGAGUGUUCCAGGCAGGUUUGUCCGGAAUGCAUUAGCAUGGAAUAAUAGAAUAUGACUGAAGUCGAUUUAUUGGUUUGAGGCUUUAGUAAUGAUUAAUAGGAACAGUCGGGGGCAUUGGUACUUGACAGUCAGAGGUGAAAUUCUAGGAUUUGUCAAAGACUAACAAAUGCGAAAGCAUUUGCCAAGGAUGUUUUCAUUAAUCAAGAACGAAAGUUAGGGGAUCAAAGACGAUCAGAUACCGUCCUAGUCUUAACUAUAAACUAUACCGACUCGGAUUCAGAUGAAUCAUAAAGUUCAUUUGGGACCGUAGGAGAAAUCAAAGUUUUUGGGUUCUGGGGGAAGUAUGGUCGCAAGGCUGA
rnacentral:rRNA from 1 species